rnacentral:lncRNA from 1 species
GGCACAUUUUUUUUACGAACACAGCACAACGAAAUUCUGUGUGUAGGACUGAACAUGCCAAAGAGCACAUCCUCUUUCCCACUUUUUUUGUCCUGUGGGGUAAAACACACAGUGGAGUGGGGGAGAAAGGCAACUGGGUGAACCUUUAGUUAAAACUUGAAAUGACAAGAGACACAGCAAAAGGGGUUGGACCUGGAGGUAGCUACACACAACAAAGGAAAGCAGUAAAUUGAAGAGAAAUUAUUGCAGCAAACGCCAAGAUUCCAGGGGGGCCUUGUUUGGCCUUUCACUCUUUCAUUUGAGAAAGGCCUCUGUUCCUUGCAGGACUCUCAGCCUCCUUCUGUCAAUGAGGCCAUUACCAAGGAGCAUUGUGGCAUUUUGUCACUAAUGAUGAGCUUGUUAUUGGUGUGGCACAGCCUACUAAUUUAGGCUGUUCCUCAAAUCCCCCAGCGUGAAGUCCAGGGAGACAUGUGAUUUGGAUGCACUAAUGACUAUGUUUGGUUGUAACAACAGGGAGUUUCUUUAAAAUCCAUCCCUUCUCUCCCUGCAGCACCCUUUUGUAAUGCGUUGAUCCAGAGCUUGGAGUCAAACCCUUUAACCAAAAUAGCCUGGAAGGCAGCAAAGCCUUUGCUGGUGGGAAAAAUCCUCUUUACUCCUGAUUCCCCUGCAACGAGAAGGAUACUGAAAAAUGCCAACUCAACUUUUGAAGAACUGGAGCGUGUUAGGAAGCUGGUCAAAGUCUGGGAAGAAGUAGGGCCCCAGAUCUGGUACUUCUUUGACAACAGCACACAGAUGACCACUAUCAGAGACACCCUGGAACACCCAACAGUAAAAGACUUUUUGAAUAGACAACUCAGUGAAGAUGGUAUUAGUGUGGAAGCCGUGCAAAACUUCCUCUACAAAGGUCCUCGAGAAAAUCAGGCUGAUGACCUAACCGACUUUGACUGGAGGGACGUAUUUAAUAUCACUGACCGAUCCCUACGCUUGGCUGAUCGAUACCUGGAGGUAAGGGGUGGCGAGCUACCUAAGGGCCAGAGUGGGCCUCUUGGAGAUGGCCCUGUGGUCAGUGGUUUGGUUUAAAUCCCCU